rnacentral:rRNA from 1 species
GAUGAACGCUGGCGGCGUGCCUAAUACAUGCAAGUCGAGCGAACAGACGAGGCGCUUGCUCCUCUGACGUUAGCGGCGGACGGGUGAGUAACACGUGGAUAACCUACCUAUAAGACUGGGAUAACUUCGGGAAACCGGCGCUAAUACCGUAUAAUCUAUUGAACCGCAUGGUUCAAUAGUGAAAGACGGUUUUGCUGUCACUUCUAGAUGGAUCCGCGCCGCAUUAGCUGGUUGGUAAGGUAACGGCUUACCACGGCAACCAUGCGUAGGCGACCUGAGAGGGUGAUCGGCCACACGGGAACGGAGACGGGGUCAAGACUCCUACGGGAGGCAGCAGUAGGGAAUCGUCCGCAAUGGGCGAAAGCCUGACGGAGCAACGCCGCGUGAGUGAUGAAGGCCUUCGGAUCGGAAAACCCUGUUAUGAGGGAAGAACAAAUGUGUAAGUAACUAUGCACGGCGUGACGGUACCUAAUCAGAAAGCCACGGCUAACUACGUG